CUACAAGGCCUUUACUGACGCUAAAGCUCGAAGGUGCGGGUAUCGAACAGGAUUAGAUACCCUGGUAGUCCGCACGGUAAACGAUGGAUGCCCGCUGUUGGCGAUAUACAGUCAGCGGCCAAGAGAAAUCGUUAAGCAUCCCACCUGGGGAGUACGCCGGCAACGGUGAAACUCAAAGGAAUUGACGGGGGCCCGCACAAGCGGAGGAACAUGUGGUUUAAUUCGAUGAUACGCGAGGAACCUUACCCGGGCUUGAACUGCACAGGAAGGAUACAGAGAUGUUGACGCCCUUCGGGGCCUGUGUGGAGGUGCUGCAUGGUUGUCGUCAGCUCGUGCCGUGAGGUGUCGGCUUAAGUGCCAUAACGAGCGCAACCCUUUUCAUCAGUUGCCAUCAGGUGAUGCUGGGCACUCUGUUGAUACUGCCACCGUAAGGUGUGAGGAAGGUGGGGAUGACGUCAAAUCAGCACGGCCCUUACGUCCGGGGCUACACACGUGUUACAAUGGGGCAUACAGAAGGCGGGAUCAUGGCAACAUGGUUCAAAUCUUUAAAGUGCUCCUCAGUUCGGAUUGGGGUCUGCAACCCGACCCCAUGAAGCUGGA
rnacentral:rRNA from 1 species